CACUGGCUGCGUUCCCUGCCCUGGGCCUCGCUAAGGUUCCAUGCUGGGUGCGCGGAGCUGGAGAAGGAAGAUGAGAAUUCUGCACUUCCCCGAGAUCCCAUAGAGAAGUCCUUUAAAAUCCCAGUAUGCCCCAGGGAAACAGAGCUCGUCGCAGUGCACCGCCACACAUUCGCAUUGCUCAGAAUCCAAGGGACACAAAAGAGAGACUUAUUGGCCGGGUUGGACACACAGCACUGGGCUUCCAGCCUCUGUCUCGGAGUCCUGCCCAGAAGGCCCAGACCACCUCCUGCUUGAGAUCAACGCCCUCCCCACCCCAAGUCCCAUCACUGGAGCUGAGUGCUGCUGCUGUAUGAGAUGCCUCCAACACCGAGAAGCACUCUAAUCAUCCUAGCAGACUUUAAUAAUAACUUAUUCACAAACUCCAACUAGUAUGGGCCUUGCCAGGCCCCAUGAGAAGUACUCGGCUACAUUAUCUCACCCAGUCCUCAUAGCUCUGUGAGACCAAUGCUUCAUAAGCCCCACUUUUGCAGAUAGGGGCCCCCAAGUUAGAAGUCAACUCACUCACUUGAGAUCGCACAGCCAGAGGUUAAGCCAGAAUUCACACAUGGGCUGCCAGGCUCACAGCCUCUGUCCUCAAUCCCUGUUCUACCCAGCCUACGGCAGCAGAUACCCAUAACUUACGCUUCAUCAGGGAUUGGAUUUGAUUUAGGGGAUUGUUGGUAUUAAAUACAUUUCAUUUUCCUUUAAUAAAUGAAAACUAGUAAUGAGUAUUUAUGAUGACUCUCAGCUACCAGGGUAUUCCAUCAGCUGCAACUGGCCAUGAACCAACCCUCUGUCCCUUCACACAGCAACAUUCAUUCAACCCCAUGUCUCAGUACUAGGGAAACAGAAAGAUGGUCAUUGAUCUUCAAGGACAUCCCAUUUCGAAGAAGAAAAGAUAAGAAAUCACUUUCAACAUAGUGUGUUACUGUUGGGCCAAUAAUGUCCAGAACGGUAAAAGUAGAAAGAAAAACUAACCCAACCCAGAGAAGUGUCAAGGAAAGCAAAGUAGAAGAGGCGAGGCUUGAGAGCUCACUGAGGAACAAGUAACAGUUUGCCAGAAUGAGAAAGUGAGAAGGGUGCCCCAGGCAGAGGGGCCAUCUGGAAAAAGCAUGGCUGCUUCUGAACUCCCCCAGGGCGUGGCUGCAACAUGGAUGUCUAUGGGGGCAUCAUCCAGAUGCAGAGGAAGAGGGAGCCACGUGGAAAUGCCUAACUUAUCCCUAACUUAUCAUUUUGGGACUUGAACUUUAUCCAGAAGCUUCCCAGGAGCCACUGGAAGAUUUAAGAAAGGUCCUAGCCAGGCUUACAUUUUGGGUAGGUACCUCUCUCUGCUGACAGGACAGGGAGAAUAGGAUGGGAAGGGCUGUAACCAGGCCAGAUGCGGUGGCUCAUGCUUGUAAUCCCCCAGCACUUUGGGAGGCCAAGCCAGGCAGAUCACCUGAGGUCAGGAGUUGGACACCAGCUUGGCCAACAUGGCCAAACCCUAUCUCUAUUAAAAAUACAAAAAUCAGGCCAGGCGUGGUGGCGCAUGCCUGUAAUCCCAGCUACUCGGGAGGCUGAGGCAGGAGAAACACUUGAAUCCAGGAGGCAGAGGUUGCAGUGAGCCACUGCACUCCAGCCUGGGUGACAAAGCAAGACUUCAUCUAGGAAAAAAAA